rnacentral:rRNA from 1 species
AUUUUAUAGAGAGUUUGAUCCUGGCUCAGGACGAACGCUGGCGGCGUGCUUAACACAU